rnacentral:misc_RNA from 1 species
GGGGACGCUUAUAUCUCAUAUCUUACGACUUUCGGGAUACAAAGUUCAGGACUUCAGGUUAUUAAGUUAAGUAGCCAAGCUCUAGGACAAUUCACCAUUCGAAAACUCCACCCUACAGAAAGCUAUGAAAUGUAGAGUGUUGGACAGUGGUUAAAAGAAAAACGCAGAGUAAUUGAAAUGCAAGCGCAGUCAGAACUCAAGUGACUUCCAAGUGAAAAUGGUCACGUUUCAUGUUCUCAGGUUAAAAAAAUAGAAAAGGAAAAAUAUACAUGCCCGCCUUUCUUUUUCCCCUUAUUAAAUAAAUAAAAAGAAAAAAGAGGGGCUUGGCAGGCAGGGCAGUCCCCUGUUCUAUAUUAUCACACUCUGCAAUAACACAUUAAAACGGGAAUUCAUAAUCCAACACAUUUCACCUCAAAAAAAUCAAUAAUAUCCUGUUGCCAGCAUCACCUAGAUUAUUUUUGAUUUCUGCAAUUUUCCGGACAAGAGAACAAAAGACUGCAGAGAGAGUUCCGUUUCUGUUUAGGAUGCUGACUCCUUUGCAAUCUUAUCGGCC